CCUACGGGUGGCAGCAGUGGGGAAUAUUGCGCAAUGGGCGAAAGCCUGACGCAGCGACGCCGCGUGAGGGAUGAAGUAUCUCGGUACGUAAAGCUCUAUCAGUAGGAAAGAAAAUGACGGUACCUGACUAAGAAGCCACGGCUAACUACGUGCCAGCAGCCGCGGUAAUACGUAGGGGGCAAGCGUUAUCCGGAUUUACUGGGUGUAAAGGGAGCGUAGACGGCGCUGCAAGUCCGGAGUGAAAGCCCAUGGCUUAACCAUGGUACUGCUCUGGAAACUGUAGGGCUUGAGUGCGGGAGGGGCAGGCGGAAUUCCUAGUGUAGCGGUGAAAUGCGUAGAUAUUAGGAGGAACACCGACGGCGAAGGCGGCCUGCUGGACCGUAACUGACGUUGAGGCUCGAAAGCGUGGGUAGCAAACAGGAUUAGAUACCCGAGUAGUC
rnacentral:rRNA from 1 species